rnacentral:lncRNA from 1 species
GAUGAGAAGGGAAAAGCCAGGGUAUUCUCUCCUCCCUCUGCCUUAGGUAGCAACUCCCGUCUUCAGUAGUGGCUGCAUCUCUUCCAUGGCUCCAGUUCCAGGCCUGUUGUGGCUUCAGCUUCCAGCAGGUGACCUCAACCCUUGGGUUCAGUGUUGAGACUGAGGUUCAGAGGCCAAGAAGCUUACACAUGCUCACACAGCCAGGGAGUAGCAGAGCUGGGAUUUGAAUCCAGGAGUGUCUAAUCCCAACGCCCAAGACUUUUCCAUGAACCCAUCCUGCUUCCCUUCCAAGUCUGCAAGGGAGGUCCGGAUACAGGAGCUCUGCAGGGCAUUGAUGGUAGCUUCUGCAUUUACUUGAUUUAUGUAACCUUCACUGAUCUAGUAUAAUACUGGGUACUAGGGACUGACUGUUCCUUGAGCUUUACAAA